AGUGAACGCUGGCGGUAGGCCUAACACAUGCAAGUCGAACGGCAGCACAGUAAGAGCUUGCUCUUACGGGUGGCGAGUGGCGGACGGGUGAGGAAUACAUCGGAAUCUACCUUUCCGUGGGGGAUAACGUAGGGAAACUUACGCUAAUACCGCAUACGACCUACGGGUGAAAGCAGGGGAUCUUCGGACCUUGCGCGAUUGAAUGAGCCGAUGUCGGAUUAGCUAGUUGGCGGGGUAAAGGCCCACCAAGGCGACGAUCCGUAGCUGGUCUGAGAGGAUGAUCAGCCACACUGGAACUGAGACACGGUCCAGACUCCUACGGGAGGCAGCAGUGGGGAAUAUUGGACAAUGGGCGCAAGCCUGAUCCAGCCAUACCGCGUGGGUGAAGAAGGCCUUCGGGUUGUAAAGCCCUUUUGUUGGGAAAGAAAAGCAGCAGGUUAAUACCCCGCUGUUCUGACGGUACCCAAAGAAUAAGCACCGGCUAACUUCGUG
rnacentral:rRNA from 1 species